UCUGAGGACUCUGAUUUGGAAAGCCAACCUCAAGUCGCAGUGGUCCAUACUAGAAGGGGGACGCGAGUUGAAAACUCAGGUCCUAGCUCUCAGGUCGGGUGUCCGGGUGUAGGUGUUGAUUUACUAGGGAUGCAAGAAGAUAGUACCCCUACAGAAAGUGCAGUUGUGCCCAUGGUAGUACAACCCGAAGGUAUUACAACAGAACAGGAGUAUGGCUUUAGUACUGAGGAUGGCCCAUUGGAUCACCCUGUAGACCAGCUAAUUAAGGAAUCAGAAAUGUCUGACCCCGUUAGGCGUUCUACAUGCAGUACAGCAGGCCAGCACCCAAAUCCUUUUCGUCUGCCUCAAGCUGUGACACAGAAUGUUACUCCCUGGAUAGAAGAAGUCAGUUCUCUGCUCACCCCCUUUAGACCUUGGCAGUAGUGAUGUAGGUUGAGUAUUCACCGGGACGGUGAUCAUUAAGGCAGGGGUGUAUGUAGUAGGGUCAGUAGGGGGUGCCGUUGAGCUAUUUUUUCCUCAUUGCCUUACCCGCAGCUGGGUGGUAACUUCCGGUGGAUACGGCGCGCUGUUUAAUUGUUUGGCGUGCAUGUGGUUGCUCGUCGCUGGAAGGACAAAGUGUUGUAUGUUCUGGGUAUUGCUGUCAACUGUAUUCAGUUAUUACACUCUACUUGUAAAUGCUGUCGGGCUGGUAUUGGAUGCUGCAUUUAAUUUUAUAUAUGUGGCAUGCAUGCUGCUGUUACCCAUACUGGUCGAGAGUGGUGAACACUGAGAUCUGUGCAGCACGCUGCCUAUAUUGUUGACGGUUAUUACUGACGGUGAACACUGAAAAUACCUAUAGGCUGCAGUGUUUUGUGCUAAACGCGAGGCUGCAGCAACUUUCCGUUGGGUCUGGUAUGCAGUACAAGAAACUGUAAAAUGAGUGCUAUGUGCUUGUGGUCCUGUUGAUCACUGUUUUCCCUACCUUUAUUUUUUGUAUAGUUUGUUUAUUGGCUUGGUUUGUUUAUUGUUAUUUUUGUUUGUUUGAUUUAUUUGCUAUCGGCCCAUAGUUACCUUGUCUCCUUACUGAUUUAGAGCGCUCUUAACAAAAGUAGGACAAAUACUACAUCAGGUUGUGUACUGUUUAUGACGAUCGGAGGGGGGGUUACUCACUAUUAAUUGUACAAGUGUGGUGUGUUGUGUGGGUUUUGUACUUUGGUAUCGGAUUUGUUUCUUUUUCUUUUCUUUUUUUUUGAAUUGUAUUGUGAAGUGGCUAACCCCUCGGUAGAAGUAACCUUUGUGCACGUAUGCUGGCUUAAGUCCUUAGUAUGAUUAAGAGUGAGAAAAAAGUUAAUAAAUGUAUUGAUUUAAUGCAGUAUUGGUCCGAGUAACUUCAUUUAUUUGAAUAACUGUGCGGGAAGCCCUUUGUGGGAUCUCCUACCCAUGUAAAGUGGAGUGGCGUAGUCACUGACAAUUAAUUACCUAUUUGACUCGGUCACAGUGUGGUUAGAUGUUACGAAGUUUUCUGCUGCUCUUUACUUCCAAACACAGCUCACUGGCGACACCAGCUGGUAAAAACAUGUAUCACAGGGUUAGGGUUACAUUAGGGUUUGCGAUACGUUCAAUUCUGUUUACUUUGAACAAAGCUCAUGGCGAAUUGAACAGAGCCGAUCAU